AUUGAACGCUGGCGGAAUGCUUUACACAUGCAAGUCGAACGGCAGCACGGGAGCUUGCUCCUGGUGGCGAGUGGCGAACGGGUGAGUAAUGCGUCGGAACGUACCGAGUAAUGGGGGGAUAACGCAGCGAAAGCUGUGCUAAUACCGCAUACGCCCUGAGGGGGAAAGUGGGGGGAUCGCAAGACCUCACGUUAUUCGAGCGGCCGACGUCUGAUUAGCUAGUUGGUGGGGUAAAGGCCUACCAAGGCGACGAUCAGUAGCGGGUCUGAGAGGAUGAUCCGCCACACUGGAACUGAGACACGGUCCAGACUCCUACGGGAGGCAGCAGUGGGGAAUUUUGGACAAUGGGGGCAACCCUGAUCCAGCCAUGCCGCGUGAGUGAAGAA
rnacentral:rRNA from 1 species